AUACGGAGGGUGCAAGCGUUAUUCGGAAUCACUGGGCGUAAAGGACGCGUAGGCGGGUUGGCAAGUCAGAUGUGAAAUCCUACAGCUUAACUGUAGAACUGCAUUUGAAACUGCUAACCUAGAGUAUGGGAGGGGGAGAUGGAAUUAGUGGUGUAGGGGUAAAAUCCGUAGAUAUCACUAGGAAUACCGAAAGCGAAGGCGAUCUCCUGGAACAUAACUGACGCUAAGGCGUGAAAGCGUGGGGAGCAAACAAGAUUAGAUACCCCAGUAGUCC
rnacentral:rRNA from 1 species